GAACGCUGGCGGCGUGCCUAAUACAUGCAAGUAGAACGCUGAAGAGAGGAGCUUGCUCUUCUUGGAUGAGUUGCGAACGGGUGAGUAACGCGUAGGUAACCUGCCUUGUAGCGGGGGAUAACUAUUGGAAACGAUAGCUAAUACCGCAUAACAAUGGAUGACACAUGUCAUUUAUUUGAAAGGGGCAAUUGCUCCACUACAAGAUGGACCUGCGUUGUAUUAGCUAGUAGGUGAGGUAAUGGCUCACCUAGGCGACGAUACAUAGCCGACCUGAGAGGGUGAUCGGCCACACUGGGACUGAGACACGGCCCAGACUCCUACGGGAGGCAGCAGUAGGGAAUCUUCGGCAAUGGGGGCAACCCUGACCGAGCAACGCCGCGUGAGUGAAGAAGGUUUUCGGAUCGUAAAGCUCUGUUGUAAGUCAAGAACGGGUGUGAGAGUGGAAAGUUCACACUGUGACGGUAGCUUACCAGAAAGGGACGGCUAACUACGUGCCAGCAGCCGCGGUAAUACGUAGGUCCCGAGCGUUGUCCGGAUUUAUUGGGCGUAAAGCGAGCGCAGGCGGUUUGAUAAGUCUGAAGUUAAAGGCUGUGGCUCAACCAUAGUUCGCUUUGGAAACUGUCAAACUUGAGUGCAGAAGGGGAGAGUGGAAUUCCAUGUGUAGCGGUGAAAUGCGUAGAUAUAUGGAGGAACACCGGUGGCGAAAGCGGCUCUCUGGUCUGUAACUGACGCUGAGGCUCGAAAGCGUGGGGAGCGAACAGGAUUAGAUACCCUGGUAGUCCACGCCGUAAACGAUGAGUGCUAGGUGUUGGAUCCUUUCCGGGAUUCAGUGCCGCAGCUAACGCAUUAAGCACUCCGCCUGGGGAGUACGACCGCAAGGUUGAAACUCAAAGGAAUUGACGGGGGCCCGCACAAGCGGUGGAGCAUGUGGUUUAAUUCGAAGCAACGCGAAGAACCUUACCAGGUCUUGACAUCCCGAUGCUAUUUCUAGAGAUAGAAAGUUACUUCGGUACAUCGGUGACAGGUGGUGCAUGGUUGUCGUCAGCUCGUGUCGUGAGAUGUUGGGUUAAGUCCCGCAACGAGCGCAACCCCUAUUGUUAGUUGCCAUCAUUCAGUUGGGCACUCUAGCGAGACUGCCGGUAAUAAACCGGAGGAAGGUGGGGAUGACGUCAAAUCAUCAUGCCCCUUAUGACCUGGGCUACACACGUGCUACAAUGGUUGGUACAACGAGUUGCGAGUCGGUGACGGCGAGCUAAUCUCUUAAAGCCAAUCUCAGUUCGGAUUGUAGGCUGCAACUCGCCUACAUGAAGUCGGAAUCGCUAGUAAUCGCGGAUCAGCACGCCGCGGUGAAUACGUUCCCGGGCCUUGUACACACCGCCCGUCACACCACGAGAGUUUGUAACACCCGAAGUCGGUGAGGUAACCUUUUGGAGCCAGCCGCCUAAGGUGGGACAGAUGAUUGGGGUGAA
rnacentral:rRNA from 1 species